UUCAUUAGGCUUUUUUCCUUUCAUUAGCAAAAACAAACAAUUAGCAGAGAGAUAACCCCAAAUCCAACAGCUAACAGCCACUUCAAGAUAUGGCGAAUCCGUUGAAGCUGUAUUUAACUUGCGUAAGGAACACUCUCGAGGCUGCUAUGUGUCUCCAGAAUUUCCCUUGUCAAGAAUGAGAGGCAUAAUAAGCCAGAAGUUGAACUAAAGACAAGCCCAGAACUUCUGCUAAAUCCUGUA